rnacentral:lncRNA from 1 species
UAAAACCCAUAAGAUGGUCCAUGGAUGCUCCAUGGUGUGUUUGAACCCAUGGAUCCAAGGAAAUGGAAAGCCAUGACAAUUAAGGGUUUACCCUAAUUGUAACACUAUAUAAAGAUCACAUUCUUGGGAAAAAUCGGCCACUAGAGAUAGUAAGAAAGGGCUAGCCGAUUUUCAUGAAGUGUAGAAUUCUCUCAAGUCAUUCCAUUUGUAUUUGGUGUUGUGUGAACCAUUUGAGGUGUCACACUUGGGGCACUAGGCACUCAAGCUUCAUGAAGACUUUCUACUCCAAAGAGGUAUGCACUACUAGAAAAACAACCUUUUACGACGCUCAUUGCGCGUCGUAAAAGGCUCAGACGAUGUGCAAAUGCGCGUCAAGGAAGGCCCUGUCAUAAAGAGAGACGAUGCGCAUUUACGACGCUCAUUUACGACACGCAAUGCGUAUCAAGAAAGGCCCUGCCAUAAAGGAAAACGACUCGCAUUCACGUGUUGUAACCUUACAACGCGCGUGUUAAUGACACGCAAUGCGUAUCAAGAAAGCCCCUAUCAAGAAAGGCCAUGUCAUAAAUGAAGACGACACACAUUUUUGCGUAUCAUAAUUUUAAAUGUUUAAAAGAAAUAUUAUUUAUAGAUUUACUUAUUUUCAAAUUAAAUUUGUAUUUAAUGUUUCAUAAUAGAAAAUAAAAUAUCAUAUACAAAAUAUAGAAUCCAUUGCAUAAAUUGAAUGUCAUACAAAUAAUCAUUCCAUGGAAAGAUUAAACAAAUCAAUAGAAGUUGUAACAAAAAUUUACAAACGAAUUAGAUACAAAAAAUACAAUCCAUUGCCCCUUUGCUUAUUCAAGAUCAACCUGCAAGUAGCUAACUAAUCUGUACAAAUUCACCCUUGUUUCUAAUCAUUUUCUAAAAUACUUUACAAAUUAACAUAAUUCAUCCAUAGUACCUGAACUAUAGUUGCAACCUUGUUUCUUCUUCUUCUGAACUCAUCUCUUGCAAGCAUUGCUAUAAGCCUAGUCUGAAUAGAUACAACAGCUAGCUAUUUCAGAUGAAAUCAGAUAUAAAAUAUGGAGCCAAACAAACCAUACCUUUGGUGACACUAUAAACAGACCCAACAGAAACGUGAAUAAGACCUGCAACAGAUGAAAUCAAAACAAUGUUUCCAGCUCUAGAAGGUUUUAAAAGAGGAUGUGUAUGUUGACACAUAUGGUAACAAGACUCCAAAUUGGUAGCCAUGAUCAUGGAGUACGUAAACAUUUAAAUUCUCUUGCAACAGGGAUCAGUAUAUGGUCCCAUGCUGCAAUAUAAUCGGCAUCAUCACAUUUUUCCAUUCUCCUAUGGAACAUUUAUAUUGUACCCUUCACCUUCUCCCUCACCCUUCAUGUCAUAUGAUCCAUCAUCACCACAAGGAUAAAAAGUUCCAUACUCAUCCCUACAUUAUUUAUAGUUUUUUAAACCACAAAAUUUUUAAUAAGAGAUUAUUAUUAAUAUUCGUAUCUAAUCAUCUACCUAUGUACAGAGAAGAACAACCCUUGGGAGUCCUUAUAGAAGGUCUUUUGAGUACCAUUUCCAUGAUGAACAUCCCAAUCAACAAUUAGUAUCUUGUUAAUACCUAAUUCCUGCAACAUACAUAAGAAGAAUUAAUUUAGAUAAUUCAUAAGAUUGUAGUCAAUGGUUGAUUUGACAAACUGUAUGCAUCAUUGCAUUGAUCACUCUUACUUUUUGGUUAAGGAGAAAGCUUGUUGCAAUUGAAAUGUUGUUGAAUAAAUAGAAUCCCAUUGGUUCGGUUUCUUCUGCAUGGUAUCCCGGAGGUCUAACAAUGGCAAAUGCAGAGUUUAGUUCCCCUUUUGCAACUUUUGUAGUUACAUAUUAGGAUGAUAAGAAUCUACAUCAUAUUUGAUAAAAGAAUUUUUUGAUAAGAAUUUACAUGCCUAGAAAACAUGUCAGCAUGUAGGAUAUGAUCUAGCUUACACUAUCACACAAAAAAAAAUCAGAAUGUUUUAUAAAAAAAAAUAGUGAUAAUAUGAUUGAAAGUUAAAUCUGUCAAUGUAAGUUAGUUAUUACCUCAUAAGGAUUCCUAAUAACAUCAACCCACCAAGAAGGUAACCAACCUGUAAUGUAUGGAAUACGUGGUAAAUAAUGGAUUGAAUUUUCUUCAACUUAAUAUGUUAUAAUUAGAAAGAAUGCUUAUUAAAUACUGUAACUAACUAGUUAAUUUAUAAUUUAAAAAAUUCAUACAUACCAUACUCAUGAAAGCCAAGCUUCUAGUGUAAUUAGUCCGCUUAUCCAACGACACUUCUGACACUGAAUUAUUUAUACAUCAGAAAUACAAAUAUGAAAAUAGAAUAAAUAUACAAACACUAUUACUAAACCUCAUUGGAUACACAUUUGAUCUUGGAGGAAGGCCCUAAAAAAUAUUAUUAAAUAAGAACAAGUUGAGAUUGACNAUUAAAUAAGAACAAGUUUGAGAUUGACAACCAUAACAAUGGUCUGAAUUUUUUAUGAAAAAAACAUCAAUGAAUAUACCUCAAACAUUUCUAUUGCAGACACCCUAAGGUUACAAAUGCAAUAAAUGCCCAACCUUCGAUCCAAGAUAGCUUCAAAGUUUGAAGAGGCGACUCAGCUGCGGUUAACCAGAUGUGGCAUUAAAACGGGAUGCAAGAGUGCCAACACUUUCGGCUUUCAUUUCCAUAUGUAAUUGACAUUUCCCACAGCCUAAUUUUUUUUUUAAUAAAAUCUAAAAAGAUUUAUAAAAACGAAUAUAAAAAUUUACAUUUUCAUUUUAUAUAAGAAUAAUAUAUACCUUGGCAGCACCAGUGGAACUAGGGAUGAUGUUUUGUGCAGCGCCACGCUAAGUUGCACGGAAACGGAUACUGCAACAGGAAACGGAUACGAAACGGAUACGGGAAACGACAAAACUCAAAAAUUCAAGAUACGGAUACGGCAAUAUAAAAAUAUGAAAAAACAUAUAUAUAUAUAUACAUAUAUAUAUAUAUUNNNNNNNNNNNNNNNNNNNNNNNNNNNNNNNNNAACAAAAAUCCAAAAAAUGUAAAGUUUAAACUCCAAAAAUACUAAAUAUUUUAAAAGUAACUAAUUAUCAAUAAUCAAAUCAUUUUCAAAGUCGGGUUCAUCUAGUGAGAGAUCUGCAAACUCCAAUACAAUAAAAAAGUCAGGUUCAUCUGGUGAGUGGUGAAUGUGUGAAUGAGUAUUGAAUUUUUUUUCUUAUUCUUGGCUUCUUGAUCGACGACACAGAGAGGUAAUAAAAAAACUAUAAAAGUCGAUGAUCACCAAUGAAAAGAUUACGCAGCAGCCUUACGUUUACAAACUUCUAAAUUCUAAUUGACUAAUUGACUAAUUGUAGGGUAAUAGCAUUAUCAACCGACAUAUGACUAAGCCCAUUCUCUAUUUCUGCGUAUUAAAAGCCCAUGCAAAUAAUUAAGAAAAAAAAAGGGAAACGUGAAUGAAACGUGGGAGAAACGUUUCAGGGAAUACUGAUACUUGCCGGAAACGUUUCCCGGCCGUUUCACCGAAGUUUCCGUUUCCUAUGCGUUUCAGAUACGGGAGCCGCUACUCAUCUGGCGUUUCCAUGCAUCGUUGGCGCCACGUCCUCCACGCCAAUCUUUCGUUGAAGGUCCAUCAACCGUUUUUUUGUGUAGCUGAAAACAAAUAAAAUAACAACAAUUUAAUAAAUUUAAAUGAAAAAUUUAUCUAUAAAGAGAAUGAAAAAUGAAGGUUUGAAUAAAUGUCAACACCUGUGGUUGCAUGUACAGUUUUCAUCAAACCUUCAAUGAUACCAAACUCCUCAUGAACCAUCUAUAUAUAAAAAUAAAAAGAGAACCAUUAUAUAAAAAACAUUAAGAGCUGUUUAUUUUUGAAUUAAGCAUUUAACCAUUCAACCAUUUUAUCCAUACAUAAAGGAAAAGAUAAGUACCUUGGCUAAAGAAACUCAUAUUCUCCAACUGAGAUUAAGAAAGAAGGAAGGAAACAGUACAUGGUGAUUCUCAGUUACAAAAUCAGAAAGAACUUCUGAAAUGAAGUCUAGCACAACUGUUUCUCCAACAGAACACGGGCCACCACCAUAACCGAAAUCAUCCACAUCAAGAAGCAGCUUCCGAUGGACUAUGAAAAUUGUGUUUGAAAUGUUUGGGAUUCGUGGGGACCAUCUAAAGUCUGGAGUUAAAUCAAAUUCAGUGAGAGAUAAAAAGGAGGAUUCCAUGGAAAGAGAGACGAGUGGUUGAUAUUGCACUCACUGGAGGGAAGCUUCUCAUGCUGAUGGAAGUCUUAACAGAACCUUCCGCGUCUUCACCAUCAUUUAUGUUUUUCUCUUCUGCCUUUAUCAACAUCUGCUUCACCAUCAUCACACCAUGAGCAUCCCUAAAAAAACAAAUAAUAAUAAUAAUAAUAAUAAUAAAAUUAGCAGACUAAAAAGAAAACAAUAAUUAUAAUCUUUCCUAGACAAACAGGAAAGAGAAAAAAGUAUAUGACCUGACACAGGAUAAAUAAAGAUCCACACAGCUCUCAUUGAAUUCAGCUUGUCUACAUACAGUAGAAAAAGCCGGACACAUUUUGGCUAAAUCCACCAUGAAUCUAAGAACAGAUUAUGUAGCAGCAAGAGUAGAAGCUUCUGCACCCAUAAGACGUGCUGCAUAAGUUUUAUGCAUCAGAGCUUCACCCUUAAAGCUCUCCAGUCACUUCUGCAUUUCUUUCCACAAGGUCUGGAACAAGUCCACCACCACCCUGAUUCAGAUUCCCACUUCCGUAAGCCAGCAUUGUCUGGGCAGACAACUUGUUAAAUGUCGAUUUUGCCAUUGCUAUUAUAGAUUCCAAAAGCUCUAAGAACUUUAGUUGAACAUUACUUCCAUCACUUGGCAUAAGGGCAUGAAAGUCCAGCAUGCGAACUUCAGGUAAUCUUGGAUACACGGGCUUCCCGAACUUCAGGUAUCUGGGGUGUAAUUAUUUUUUUAUACUUCUUGUUACCAAAGUCAAAUAAACCUUGAACAAUUUGGUACCUCAAACUAAGCAUGCACUCUUCUAUUCAUUACCUACAUCAUCGUUGACCAAAUUUUUGCUAAGAAGUUUUUAAAAUGAAUACUGUAACCUGCUACACAUCCAUAUCAUAAUUUCCAUUUACAAGCUUCCUCACUAAAAGCUGAUGUAACUAAAAAGCAAACAAAUUUAUUAGACAGUUAAAUGAUGAAUACAACUCAAAAAAUAACUAAAAACUUCAAAUAUAAAUUAUAUUAACGCUAGUAUAGCACAAAAUAAAUCAUUCAAUCCAGAACUAGGGAAUACUGCAACAACAUUUCAUCAAAAACAUAUUCUAUAAACGAAAUUAUGAUAUUUGGUUGAAAACCAAAACAGGGAAUAUUGCAACAACAACAAAUAGAUUACAGACACGAUAAUUGUGAAUCAAUAUUUAACAUUAACAACUAUGUGAUUUUCUUUCAAACCUGACAUUUGAAAUAUCCCAAUGCCUCAGUGGCCCCCAUCCUUAAGUUAUCGGAGAUCCAAAUACUUCAUGAAGCUAAUCACUAAAUAAAAUCAGAAAGUUGGAGAUCCAAAUACACGGAGGGCAUUGUAAAUAAGUAGGAAAUGUUAGAUUUGAAGUUGAUUUAAGGAUUAAAUUAAAGAAUGAGCAAGCGGUGUUAUCACUGGCGUCCAAUAUCUGCUUCUAUUCAAUCACUUCAGAUGAUGAGUAGAAAAGUAAGGGAGGAAAUCACGAUUAAUAUUUGUAUCGCUUUUCCAGUUAGGGUUUUACAGAGGAGAAUACGAGAAGAACCAAAAUCGAAAUUAGAGGUAUGAAUAAAGGAGAAAUAAGAACCUGGAUCUUUUCUUUGACAUUCUCGAUGGUGUCAUUGCUCUCAUCAAAAUUAAAGAGGGCUAAAUACAAAGUUGGAGACAGAGAUCGUAUGAACUCCAAACUGACAAUGGAGGGUGUUAAAUAUAUAACAAAAAAUAGAGGAUGGCGGUGGCAGACACUCGGAAGGGUCGAACGGUCGUCUUUCAUUGGAAGUCGACGGCGGUGGGAGACACUCGGGAGGGUCGAAGAAUCAGCAGAUGGCGGAAGGUGAAUGGAGGUUUGAGAAUCAAGAGAGAAGAAAGAAAGAAAGAAAGGGGGUAUUCGGCGGGGAUGAGCUAGGUUUUCAGCCGGUGGAAACAAAGCGGGCUGUUUAAUUUUUGGAUUUCAUUUCCCCUGGGAUGAAACGCGCGUUUCAUUAAAAUUUAUAAAGCGACGUGGUUAGACGACACACAUUUUAUUUAAGGUGCCCUCUGUGUUUUCUUUUUUUAUUUAUUAGACACUAAUUUUAGGGUACGCGGAAAUGCGUGUUCUCUAUGCUUCAUAUUUUGGAAAACUGACAUCAAUUUUUAGGGCACUCACAAAUGCGUGUUCUCUAUCAGCGCGUGUCAUUGAUUGCGCGUCGUAAAAGGCUGUUUUUCUAGUAGUGAUGUAUUCUAUCUUGCUAUAGUCAU